CCGGCGCACGGGUGAGUAACACGUAUCCAACCUGCCGUCUACUCUUGGACAGCCUUCUGAAAGGAAGAUUAAUACAAGAUGGCAUCAUGAGUCCGCAUGUUCACAUGAUUAAAGGUAUUCCGGUAGACGAUGGGGAUGCGUCCCAUUAGAUAGUAGGCGGGGUAACGGCCCACCUAGUCUUCGAUGGAUAGGGGUUCUGAGAGGAAGGUCCCCCCACAUUGGAACUGAGACACGGUCCAAACUCCUACGGGAGGCAGCAUG
rnacentral:rRNA from 1 species